GGGGGUGUAGCUCAGUUGGUUCAGAGCACUGGCCUGUCACGCCAGUGGUCGCGAGUUCGAAUCUCGUCACUCCCG
rnacentral:tRNA from 1 species